rnacentral:rRNA from 1 species
UAACACUAACUGGAGGACCGAACCGACUAAUGUUGAAAAAUUAGCGGAUGACCUGUGGCUGGGGGUGAAAGGCCAAUCAAACCGGGAGAUAGCUGGUUCUCCCCGAAAGCUAUUUAGGUAGCGCCUCGUGAAUUCAUCUCCGGGGGUAGAGCACUGUUUCGGCUAGGGGGCCAUCCCGGCUUACCAACCCGAUGCAAACUGCGAAUACCGGAGAAUGUUAUCACGGGAGACACACGGCGGGUGCUAACGUCCGUCGUGAAGAGGGAAACAACCCAGACCGCCAGCUAAGGUCCCAAAGUCAUGGUUAAGUGGGAAACGAUGUGGGAAGGCCCAGACAGCCAGGAUGUUGGCUUAGAAGCAGCCAUCAUUUAAAGAAAGCGUAAUAGCUCACUGGUCGAGUCGGCCUGCGCGGAAGAUGUAACGGGGCUAAACCAUGCACCGAAGCUGCGGCAGCGA